CAAAUUAUUACUUAUAGAAAGUAUUAUUACUUACACUAAUAAGUUAAUCGUGCAAUUCGAUUUAAUUUGA
rnacentral:tRNA from 1 species